UCUAAAUCCUAAAUCCACCCUCCGGGUCAUAAAAUACUCUUGUUUCUCUCCAGUCUAGUAUUUCCUUCACGGAAUCUCCAAGGCACCCGAUUUGCCUCUUUUGCGGAACACACGGCCUCCUACCUAGUGGUGGACCCGCCAUCCAUUCAUCUAGUCAUUUAAUGCCCAUCCCAUCAUUUAACAGUCAUUUGCUGAAUGCCUUCUGUGUGCCAGCUGCAGUGCCUGCCCCAGGGAGCUCACCUCCCAACGUGGAAGACAGAAGACAGGUCAUUAUAACAAGAUAGCCACUGCCACAAGAUUGAAGGUUUUUCUGAAGGCACUGGAGAGGCGUUAAAGGAUUUUAAAGAGGCAAAGUGGCGAUGAGAGCAAACAGACAUUCUGAAGACUGUUCUUGGAGCAACAUGGAGGACAUUUGGAUCUAGAAGACCCUCUCCAAGUUUAAGAAGCUACAUCCCAAAGAUAACAUGAGAAACUACUGAUUUAAAGAAUCCCAAUCAUACCUGACACAUCUCAAGGCUCAUUCAAUGAGGAAGAAAAUGGCAACACGAACUAUCAAAAUGUCUCUUAAGACAGCUGAGCCUUGGGGGAAGUGCUCACUGAAGUCUGACUUCUUCCUGGGAGAAGAAUGCUUCUUAUUUUCUUUCUUCCACAAACAGGAGAUUAAUGGACCUCUCACUGCUGGGAAUAUUUGCACCUGUAAUGAUGAAAACUGAGCCGCAUCCAUAUUUCCUGUAAAAUGACACUUCACUUUGUGCAGAGAAUGCAGAGAUUUUGUAACUGUUGGUGUCAGAGGAAGCAGACAGAGCUGUGGAAGGACUAGAGGAGCAUCCUGUUGGGGUGGGGCCUUGGUGGGGAGACAAAAUUGCCUCUUGGAUUCUGCCCUGCUUGUGUGCAUUAUACCGGAGAGACCUGGCAUGGUCUGGUUUGAAUCCUGGCUCUGCUACCUACUCACUAGAGGACUUUGGAUAGUUGUGUAACCUCCCUUAGCCUCUUUUAAUCUCCUUAUCUGCAAAAUGGUCUCCUUAGAGAGUGCAGCUGAGAGCAUCAGUGUGAAGACCAGAUGGCCACUGAACUGCUUGUCCUGGAUUUCCAGGCCACCACCACCUGCUGCUCCCUCCCACCUCUUCCUGCCCCGGUCUCAGAACCCACCACAUGCGGCUCACUGCUAUGCAACCACCCACAAGGGUCCUCACCGAUCGCUCCACUUGAGAGGAAUCCCUGCCCACCAUGCUGAUGGAG